AUUGAACGCUGGCGGCAGGCCUAACACAUGCAAGUCGAGCGGAUGAAGGGAGCUUGCUCCUGGAUUCAGCGGCGGACGGGUGAGUAAUGCCUAGGAAUCUGCCUGGUAGUGGGGGAUAACGUCCGGAAACGGGCGCUAAUACCGCAUACGUCCUGAGGGAGAAAGUGGGGGAUCUUCGGACCUCACGCUAUCAGAUGAGCCUAGGUCGGAUUAGCUAGUUGGUGGGGUAAAGGCCUACCAAGGCGACGAUCCGUAACUGGUCUGAGAGGAUGAUCAGUCACACUGGAACUGAGAAACGGUCCAGACUCCUACGGGAGGCAGAAGUGGGGAAUAUUGGAAAAUGGGCGAAAGCCUGAUCCAGCCAUGCCGCGUGUUGGAAGAAGGUCUUCGGAUUGUAAAGCACUUUAAGUUGGGAGGAAGGGCAGUAAGUUAAUACCUUGCUGUUUUGACGUUACCAACAGAAUAAGCACCGGCUAACUUCGUG
rnacentral:rRNA from 1 species